rnacentral:rRNA from 1 species
UGGGGAAUUUUGGACAAUGGGCGAAAGCCUGAUCCAGCAAUGCCGCGUGUGUGAAGAAGGCCUUCGGGUUGUAAAGCACUUUUGUCCGGAAAGAAACCCUUGGCUCUAAUACAGUCGGGGGAUGACGGUACCGGAAGAAUAAGCACCGGCUAACUACGUGCCAGCAGCCGCGGUAAUACGUAGGGUGCAAGCGUUAAUCGGAAUUACUGGGCGUAAAGCGUGCGCAGGCGGUUUGCUAAGACCGACGUGAAAUCCCCGGGCUCAACUGGGAACUGCAUGGUGACUGGCAGGCUAGAGUAUGGCAGAGGGGGGUAGAAUUCCACGUGUAGCAGUGAAAUGCGUAGAGAUGUGGAGGAAUACCGAUGGCGAAGGCAGCCCCCUGGGCAAUACUGACGCUCAUGCACGAAAGCGUGGGGAGCAAACNGGAUUAGAUACCCUGGUAGUCCACGCCCUAAAACGAUGUCAACUAGUUGUUGGGGAUUCAUUUCCUUAGUAACGUAGCUAACGCGUGAAGUUGACCGCCUGGGGAGUACGGUCGCAAGAUUAAAACUUAAAU